rnacentral:rRNA from 1 species
UGCGUAGGCGGGCGCGUAAGUGUCUGGUGAAAGCCCCGGGCUCAACCCGGGAACCGCCGGGCAUACUGCGCGUCUUGAGGUAGCUAGAAGCCGGUGGAACGAUCGGUGGAGCGGUGGAAUGCGUAGAGAUCGAUCGGAACGCCAAGGGUGAAGACAACCGGCUGGGGCUUACCUGACGCUGAGGCACGAAAGCGUGGGGAUCAAACA